GGCGGGGGGGGGGGUUGUUUUUGCCAAAUGUAACAAAAGCCGAUGCUGUGGCUUUAAGUCAGUUACACUGAUUUAGUAUUAAAAAAAGAAAAAAAGAAAAAACAAUUACAUAUAUUGCUUGCUUUCUAUCCUGUGAAUUUUUUUCUAGUUUUUGUGCAGUUUUAGUGAGAAUAUAGUUAUUAAUUUGAAGAGGUUGCAUUGCAAAACAAAAUGUAAUAGGGAAUAAAGAAUGCAGUUGGGCAAGAAUUUUUUAGACAAGAUCACUAAACAGUAACUGGUAGGAUUUUGAAAUCUAAUCUUUUAAAAGGUUGAUUGAUGCUUUCUCCUUUUAAAUGGAAGUUCUGAACAUUUAUGAUUUUUUUUUCCAUCUUUAGUUCUCCCAUGGGAAAUAAAGCAUGUCAAGGAUGAAGUUUCAGAGGCCUGUUCUUAAAAUGACCGUGUUGAUAACUGACUUUGGCUGUUUUGUUUUAGAAACCUUUUCGUGCGGGAGGAUGUUGUGAAGGAGAGGAAUCAUGCAAGAUAGAUUUAUUUAUCGCUUCUCUGACCUGCUGCAGGUUAAAGGAGUAGUGAUUCCUCCAGGUGCUUCUGCAGUGCUGUCUUCAUUUAAAAAAUGAAAACAAAAGUUAACAGUACAGUACAUAGGACUUGGGGUCAGUUCUCUGAUGACAAGGAUCUAUUUGGAUACUCGGUCCGUCGUGUAGACCCCAGUAACGCGUGGCCACUAUCGGUUAUACCAUAGAAGUUCUGGCCUUUUGUAGGUCUAUUUUCCUUCUGUAGGGAACUACUCUGAUAAUUGAUCCAUAGUAGAAACUGGCAUGAUAAUUUUGAAUCUAGAUGGGACAGUUUUGAUGGCAUAGUAAAUUAGUAAGGGUUCUGGUCCAGGUCCCCAGCCUAGGACUCCAGAUGAAAGUUUAAGUUCAAACUCUUCCAGUGGCCACGAGUGAACUAAGCACAAGAGUGUUCUGUGCCAGUCUCCCCCGCUCCGAAGUAGGAACCGACAAUACUAACUACCUCACAGGAUCAUCGUGAGGAGAACAGAACGGCAAAAGUGCUCCGAACAGUAAAAAGCUAUUCAAAAAGAGUACGACUCUUACGGAGCACAGAAACAUGUUUGAGGGUAGAAAAGUCAUUCCACUUUUAGAAUCAAUGGCCAGUUCUCCUUCUUGCUGUUUUUUAUGAAGUGAAAUAUUAGGAAACACGUUUAUUGGCCAAGUUUAUAGAACAAAAGUCUGUGUAUCCCGUUUUGUUUAGUUAAGCAUGCUUGCAUUUUAAACGAACGCUGCUGUAGAAGUCUUUAUACACCAACUUCUCUGAAAGCUAAAAAUGGUUCUGUAACAUAUGCUUGAAACAGUGUGCCCAACGUAAUAACCAACUUUUAUCUUAUAAAGAAAUAACUUACCGGUGAUAAUCUGGAAGGUCAGUGUCUGUAAGUGGCUGGUGUUGAUGGACGGAUGACACCACAGAAGCUUUAGUGACAGCCAGGCAUGCUGCUGAAGCUGGUGCGUUUGAAAAGAGCUGCAGGAAUAACGCAAAAUCUUGGUUUCCUAAAAAUCUGUUUCAAAAGUAUUUAACUCUGUAGAACCACAAUUACGAAAAGCUCGGUAAUGCUGCUGAUUAUAUUUGUAAAAUCUACCUUUACUGUAGUGCAAUAUUUUUAUAUCUACUGAGGUAGUGGCAUCACGGCUGUACUGGAGUGCAGGGGAGGGGGGGGUCACUACAAGCAGCCUAGGGGUAGUGAGGGGUAAGGCUUCUGAAAUAAUUGUAUUCUAUUACAUUCCUGAUGUAAUCUUGCUGCCAUGCUAUGUUAUCAAUAGCUAAAAAUAAUAAAAAGAACUACCACAGAAAACAAGAAUAUCUUCAUUUGCUAACCUCUGAACGAGGGGAUUGGCUACAUCUCUCUGGAAUCAUCGCCGGGUAGAAUUCGGCCACGCAAACAAUGUCUUCCAAGUCCUCUCUUGCUGAACAAAAUUGCUAGUUUGAAAUCAGCCUAAAAGCAUUAAGUUCCGGUGUUUUGGUUUUUUUUUUUUUCUUAACCCUAUUAGGAAUUAGACUGUUUUCUGCAUUUCUGAUAUUUAGACGGAGGAUUAGGUUAGACAAGCUGAACAACAUGUUAGCAUUAUUUGGGAAUCAGAAUUAUGCUGUGAAUUAUAGUUUCAUCAGAUGUACUUGUUCACAGCAGUCAGGAAAACAAUCAAACCUUAGAAAUGCAGGGAUAACUUACUGGGCUUUUCCACAAGGAUAUUAUGUGACUACAGAUUUCAGUUGAAAGCAAAUUUUGUUUCCAAAGCCAAAAAGUAGGGUUUCAGACUAACCUGGAGUGAAAUUUACCUGAUGCCUGUAAGCAGAGAAGAAUAGUUCCUAAUUAGGUAUUCACAGUCAAGACAAUACCUUAAAGUGUAUUUUAUUCCAGCGAUAAUGUCUGGUUUAUAAAGAAAUACAAACAGGCACAGUAGUGUUCAGAAGAUUUAUUAAGGAAACGAGCUAAAACAGGCACAUACACUUAGCAGUCGAAAGAACUGAAUAUUCUUUGCUACCUCAUUAGUGGUUUUGUAUCUGUUUGCCAGGUACAAACAUGACCCACCUCUGCUCAAAAAAAUAAAACGUUCAGGGAGCUGUAUGUUCUUUGUUCUGAUACACACAUUAAAAGAAGAAAAAAAAAGCGUCACUUCAUAGUCUUCUAACCCCAGGAUAUCCGUCCUAUAAAAGACCUUGCAAUUUUACCCCCUCAGAUACAAUGGAUACCUUUGCUUGCUAAAACAGUUUUUGAAAAACUCCCGUCUCUUUUGUCUUCUCUCUGGAGAUCAACAGUGGGCAUGCCUCUGCCAGUCAUUCUUGAAGAGACUGAAGCCUUAGAGGCAAGACUAAAAUUGGAAUAAAGCAUUGUGGUCAGGGAGAGCCACAAACCCGUAGCACGUUCCCCAAGGGGGUCUCCCCUGUGGGAGAAAACAAUCCCGCGGUUUUAGGUUCGCCAUAGGAGAGCGCUUCCCCAUCCAUCUUUUUACAGAGUCACAGAUUUAAGUUGCCCAAGGCAAGUUUGUGAAGUUCAUUUGCUUCCAUCGCUGCCCUUGAAAACCAGAUUUCAAAUCAUUCAAAACCCCACAGAAAAGCUUCCUAAAGCAAAUGGAAACCGGAUUAGCUACUUCUAGAGAAUUACAAGGUUGAGGUUGAGGAGGAGUCCUCAUUCUCAAGUUCUUGGCUCCUUGUCCAAGUUAACAGAAACACAGUAUUAGCUUAACAAAGAACAGACAUUAGGUAAUUUCUGAUUACAGAGCUACAGAGUUCACAAGUAUUUGCGACAUUCUACACUAUCUGCGCACUCCAAUCACAUCUACAAAACCUGAUGUCAACUGACGAUACUAUUAACACAGUUAUUUGCUGUUGAAAAGGCACAUCAAUGUCGUCAUGCUUAGAAAAACCACGUUGCACAGCACUAGACACGAGAAUACAUACGCCUUUCUAGAUGUUUGGGGUUUUUCUGUCUUUGAAAGGGGAUGUGUCCUGACCAUUUUUUUUUUUUAACCUGUUUUCCCUAAUGUGAUUCAAGAUUUCUUUCCUCCAUCUUCCUUUAAAAUUUGUCGACUUGAACAACUUUCAGAAGUCUAAAAAAUAAUAGUUACAGUUGAAAAUUUAACAGAUACCUAGAAAACACUUGGAUGGCCUCUUAACAGGUCAAAGGUACGUGGUCUGAUUUUUUCACAUCAUAGCAGCGAUUAGCCUUUUAAGUGUCUAAAACUUGAAUGAGACGUUAAUAUAGCGAUCCUGCUUAAUCUUGUCUGUAUAAGGGAUCUCUAGCCUCACUUUUCUUUCAUCCAGUAAGACAAUCCAGUAUAUAUCUUAAAGGGAAAGCUAGUUCUACAACUAUACUUUGGGUGCUUUUCUCCGCUUUUGGACUAUUUUCUAGUUUUCUCCUUCUGGCUCUAGUGCCAAAUUACCAAAUUACGUGACUUGUAAACGUGUAAUUUGAAACCAUCUGUUUCCAGGUAGAUGGUUACACAGAAAACUAAUGCCAGCUACGAUUUAUGGGUAAGUCCAUAAGAUGACGGACCCAAGUUCCUGUCCUCUGCAUUUGAGGUAACUAGCUUUUAACUCAUAAAUAUGUUGAUAGUAAUUGCAAGUUAACCACACGCAGCGUCACUACAUAAUAUGCUGUCUUACUUGAUUCUGUUUUUCAGACUUCCUUCUGGUUUCUCAGUGUUGGAAGGGUCUCGGAGAUAAUGUGUGCUUUAAUUUUAAACACCCAUUACCAAUAUUCAGAAAAAAUAUACGAUUCUUUUGCCCAAGUGUUUAUGAAUGCUGUUGGCAAUCGAUCACAACCACGGAGAAGAAUGAAUAACCUUUGGUUGUUUGGCUUUCGCCAGGGACGAUGGUGCGACUAAGUUCUGGAGGAGUCAUUUCACUGGUAACACUGUUUUGUACAAAUAAAUACUUUGACGACUUU